CUGAGAUAUAUUUUAUUCUAUACUUUUGAUUAAAUGUUUUAUUAUUUUAUAAGUAAUUGCAGCUUUAAUAACUAAUUCAAUGCACAUCCGCCAAUCUAGGGUAUUUUGUUAACCAAUAUUCACCAAACUAAAUAUCAGGAUAUAAACUCAAUCUUGACGAGAUUAUAUUCCUAGGAAUUAGGACAACGAUACCUACUUAGUAUUCAAUAUAUAUAUACGAUAUUUCUACCUUUCAUCCCUACCACAUCUUCUUCAAAGCUUUAUAACUAAUACAUGUCUUAUGCUAUGCAAUUGUCUUACCUUUUCGACGUGAAACCAUUCAAAAUUGGCUGGUGCAUCCGUGUGAAUAUCAUCCACACCUAGAAACAAUUCAAUCCAAAAUUCGGUGAAUCACUAGAAAUCAUCUUAGCAACAAAAAGCGUGUAAAAUCUCAUGCAACCUGUAGGCAAAACAAUUUGAUGCGGCUGUGCAGCGUUGCCGUGUUAGACAAUGGAAGAUAAUAGAGAAUUUCUCUUCGAGUCAAGCAACUGGAUUAUACAGACUAAACAAUCAUGUGUACCGAAUGUCUUUCAUAGCACGCCCCUCCGUUGAUUCCAUGUAAAAGUGUAAUUAACGAUGACAUGUUUUUUCAUUGAUUGAGUUUGAAAGUAUUAUGAGUGGAACUUUAAAGAUAUGUUUCUUAAUUGGUAAGAAAGUCUAUAUGUAAUUUUAUUUUGAGGGGAGAGGUGGAGUGGUUAAUUUGUUUUACUUCGUCUCUUCCUAUACAUGUUUAAAGUCGCUUGCUAUCAAUAUUUUGGUAUGAAUGUUGUUUCUGUA